GGCCCGUUGGUCAAGCGGUUAAGACGCGGCCCUCUCAAGGCCGAAUCAUGGGUUCGAUUCCCGUACGGGUCACCA
rnacentral:tRNA from 1 species